rnacentral:lncRNA from 1 species
UGUCUUGUAAAUGAACUCUAUAGGACAAGAUACCGGGACAUCGAGCGGACAAGCCGGUGGUGAUUCUCGAUUGAAGGGUGUGCGCCAAGGUAAUUAGAAGUCAUGGAUGGCGAUCAAGCGACAAGAUGAAUGAACCGAACACUCCACUUCGAAGCUUCCGCUAUGUUGAACUUGUUAAACAGUGUUUCUUUCGUUGUAAUCAAAGUCUUAAACAACAAUAUUACGUUCUACUUUUGUUUUUAGUAGGCUAACUAGUAAAAGUUUUGAAACUUAUGUAAUUUCUAACGGCUU